rnacentral:rRNA from 1 species
AUUGAACGCUGGCGGCAUGCCUAACACAUGCAAGUCGAACGAGUGGCGGACGGGUGAGUAAUGUCUGGGAAACUGCCCGAUGGAGGGGGAUAACUACUGGAAACGGUAGCUACUACCGCAUAACAUCGCUUGUGCCCAGAUGGGAUUAUCUAGUAGGUGGGGUGACGGCUCACCAAGGCGACGAUCCCUAGCUGGGCUGAGAGGAUGACCAGCCACACUGGAACUGAGACACGGUCCAGACUCCUACGGGAGGCAGCAGUGGGGAAUAUUGCACAAUGGGCGUAAGCCUGAUGCAGCCAUGCCGCGUGUAUGAAGAAGGCCUUAGGGUUGUAAAGUACUUUCGGCGAGGAGGCGUUACUCGCAGAAGAAGCACCGGCUAACUCCGUGCCAGCCGCCGCGGUAAUUC